ACGUGCAUUCUCUUAGGUGCAUCUCACCAAAGCGAUGCAUCAAUUCGCCGAGACCACGUGCCCUUUUAGAUGCCAUUCCGGAAUGCUGGACCCACGUGCAUUCUCUAAGGUGCAUCUCACCAAAGCGAUGCAUCAAUUCGCCGAGACCACGUGUCCUUUUAGAUGCCAAAUCCUGUCACCGAGCCACGUGCAUUCUCCAGGACGACAUACCGAGUCUCCGAGCCACGUGCAUUCUCUCAGGCGACCUUUUUGCCAAGGUGACAUAUUCAACCACUGAAUUCACGUGCAUUUUUCCAGGUGACACUCCAAUUCACCGAGCCACAUGUCCUCUUUGCAGUGGUUACCGGUUCACUUUCAAUAUCGACAACCAAUGCCCAACGAUUUCUCAAUCAAAUAAAUAAAUCAACUCAACAAAACAUUAUAAAUGCUGAAUAAACAUACUUGGCCAUUCACCAAUCAAUACUCAAUCAAAUAAUUAAAUUAACUCAACAAAGCAUUAUAAAUGCUGAAUGAACAUACUUGGCCAUUCACCAAUCGAUAAUUCAAUCUCAAUCGAUUCCAAUCAAUUUAGGGUAAAUCCCUAAAAUAUCACAAUUUAUUCAAUUCCAUACAACGUGGAGCUCAAAUAAAUAAACGGACUGCGCCACGAUGAUCAGCACGAGAUUUCGGUCGUCGGCCAUCAAAAUCUUAAUUUCCGAAAAUAAUUAAUUUAUUUAUUAAUUUCGAAAAUUAAAUAAUUAUUAUUACAAAUCCAAUUUAGCUCAAAAUAAAGCCCGAUUAAAUAAACGGACUUCACCACGGUCAUCAGCAUAAUUUUCCGGUUCCAGGCCAUCUCAGUUGAAUUUCCGGAAAAUAAAUAAAUAAUAAUUUAAUUCCGAAAAUUAAUAAUUAAAUACUAAAAAUAUCCACUUAGGCCCGAAAAGCCUAAUUGGAGCCCACUAAGGGUCGGGAAAAUUCCCGAAGCACUUCCAAUAAUUAGUAGACCACGUCUACUUGCUAAUUGCGCAAUCAAAUUAUUUAAAUCGCAUCACAAUUGACUAAUAAUUGCUAAUUUAUUAUAAUCUAACAACCUAAACAUAAUUAAUUAAAUCUAAACCAACCUUAAGCAUAAUUAGCCAACUAAUCCAAGAUUAGUGAGAUUACUCACCAAAUCGCGCACAAAUCGGAUCAAUCUGACGGCGGCGACGCGAGGAACGAUUCUUCCCAAAGCACUGCUCGGGUUCGGGGCCGGGAAACGGCCCAAAACGGGCCCGAACCAGCUGGAAACCCAUUUCGUGGGUUUCUGCCCUUGGCUGGUCGGAGCAGAUCCGGCGGCCAAAACGGCGAGGGAAGGCCGGCGGAAGGCGAGGGGGUCGCGGGGGAGGUCCGGCGGGGCUUGGCGGUGGCCGGAGGUGGCCGGACGGUGGCUAGUCGGUGCGGAACAGCAACUGGGUUGGCUGGAUCGCGCGGAGGGAGGAGCGGCAGCGAGCGACGGACGGCGGGA
rnacentral:lncRNA from 1 species